rnacentral:lncRNA from 1 species
CUUAUGCUUGCCUUUCCUAAUCACGGCUAGUUGAAAUCAUGAAAAGGAUGUUUGUGUUAUUGCUGUUUGGUACUUAAUUUGAUACGGCAACCUGUCAAAAUUAUACAAAUAAUUUGUAUUUCAGGAUGACUGGCUGACAUACACAAACAGUAACAAAUCCCUACAAGCUUUUUUUUUUUCAUUGCGUGAUCUUCACUGUUCCGACGGAGACUCUUUUUCAGAUUCCCGAUAGGUUGUCUUUUCAGUUCUUGUUCAGACUACUUUUGCAGUACCUUUCUCCUUCCCUGUUUCAUUUUAGUCACUAUAGGGCUGAAAUUUGAAAAAAAUAUGAAGUUGCUGCUUUAAAAAAAAAAAAAAAAACCCAGCUCAGGUUGAAGCAAUCAAGGCACAGCCAAUGAGGAACCGCGCUUAGCUACUAUAAAGGGGAAAUGCUCUGCCCACCCAUAAAGGUAGUUUGCAGCAAGAGUUUUGGACAGAGCUGUGUUGAUGCAUCUUCUCUGUAUGCUUCGGUCUUUAAAACAAGAGCAAAGAAACUUUGGAGGUGUGGGGAACUCAUCACCUGCAAUUAUCACAAUCAUCUCUGCUUGUAACCUUUCCUUCUCAAAGAGCUGGAAACAGAAACAUGAAGAAAGCAUUCUGAAGCAUUGGUGGAGUAGCCUGGCUUGUUGAAUGAAGUACAUAAAAUCCAUGCUUCUAUCUCGAUACUGAAAGGUGUCCCUCACUUCAGUUCUCAUUCUGUAACACUGAAGGACAGUGGGAAGCAACCUGUUACAUCUUUUUCAGACCAUCCAUACAGCAUUGUCUUGAGAACAACUUGAACAUUUCGUUCCUGUUAUCUGUGUCGAAAUUUCCAGAUCACCCCAAACCUCAUAUACUUGCAUAAAAUAAGUGGUGACAGAGGGAAGAGACUGAGUAUUCAGGUGGAGAGAAGAGUGGCAGUUCUUUAGAGUGAGAGAUACGGUUCUAUGGCCAGUGUGAAAAAAAAAACAAAACAAAAAACAGAGAGAAAAUAAAAUUUUCCUCCUAUCUCUGUUCCACUCUCAUUUUAAUACAUCUUCAGACUAAAGCAGUGACAUCUCAUUUUCGACUGAAGACGUUUGGAAAUGGAUCUCCUAAAAAGAUGUCAGCAAACAGGCAAAUAAACACAGAAUGCAUAUCUAAGCUACUGGAUGUUUACAAAAGGUACUGCAGAAGGGAAAAUGUACCAGAUGAAAUGGAAAUUAUUUCAUGAAUCACCUCACGAUUUCACAGAAAUAAGGGAAGUAUUAUUACUGAUUAUUCUCCAUAAAACAAGUUUAAAAACAUACCAUCGUCUAAAAAGGAAAAGUGAAAGGUUUCUAAAUUGGAUAUUUCAAUAUUGCUAAUGAGAAUGAAGUGAGCUGAUGAAUGUUGAAUCAUUCCUUGGCAGUUUUUAAACAAAUAUUAUCAUUCAUUCUCUUUCCUGCAUUGACAGAUGAUGUUUCUUGUUCAAAUGAGGCUUCCUGACUUUUGAUAAAGGCUGCUGAAAAUAGCACUCCCCUUCCCAAGCUGUAUAUUCACUUCUAGCAUAUACUGACAUACUGACAGGGAAUGAAAAUUUGGGAUGCUCUGCAGUGUUCUGCCCUUUCAUGAAGGGUUUGUCUUGUGUGUGAAGUAUGAUGUACACCAUGGUAUCACUAUAUCACAUUACCCGGUGAUGAAUUUAGAAGCUGCCACUGCUGUCUAAUUCAGCAAUCCAUUUUGAAAUUGAGUAGCCUCUUCUCUCCCUUCAAAGUAGGGCAUCAUUAAAUUAAAGUAACCUAUUGUGUGCAGCAGACUAGGCAAGAAGUGGGUGAUGUUCUCCUGCCUUCAGCUGUCUGUCCCUGCCUGCUGGCUGCUUUCAAACGGAGGAGACAAGUCUGAUGGGCUGCUUAAACUCGUUCCUUCACUUCCCUCCAUUCUUAGCCUCCACGGAGGGCAGACUUGGGACUGUAAAGAACAGCUGCUUACCUCACUGAUGCUUUAUAUACUGAUUUAAGUGUGUAUAUGCUCACUUUUAUAUCUUGUUUAUUCAUUACUGUGGAAGGCUAUAGGAAGUUGGAGCUGAGGAGAUGCUUUCCUGCAGGGGGAAAGUUGCAAGGUACAAGACUGAAAAUGGAUUUUGGAUUUGUGGAGCAGGCUGUGUGUAAGCAAAUGCACUUGGAUUCCGUGCUGGCUUUCUCCCGUUACACAGUUUUUGCAUUGUUCUUGAUCAAAAUGGAUGGAAAAUACUGAGGGUGUUCACUUGGUUUUGCUAUACUUGCUAUAAACAUUCUAAAUAGUGCUUUGGUUAAUAGUCAGACGGACAAAUGGGAAGGAAGCCAUCAGGUGGGUAGUCAGGUAGAGACACCUUGUUUGCGUUUACUGUAAGAGCACACUGGAAAUAUUGUUAAUUUAACAUCAAGCAUCCAAAGAUAGCACCAAUUCUAAUUUCAUCAGCAGGUGAGUGUGAAAAAUCGGCCAAUGUUUUCAAUGUAGAAGUGGAAAAAUAAAAAAAUAGAAAGCCAGUUAUGUAUUAAUUGUGAUAGAGCACUAUCUGAAUUUGAAGAGCUAGAAAUUCUGCCCAUUUCAUCGAGACUUGACCUAACAUUUCCCCCUGUGAGUAGAAAAUAUUGAUAUAAUGCACAGGAAUCAUUCUGUUUGUGGUGGGUUUUUGUGGUUGGUUGUCCUUUUCUUUCUUUCUUUUUUUUACUAGCCGUUGCCCAGAUGGCCAGUUAAUUAUCCUUCUGCAGGCAGAAUUAUUUUAUUUAAUGAAUUUUUAAAUGUCAGUGACGUGAAAAACCAUUACUGUGGUUGUAAGUCCAUUACUCACCUUCAGCUUCUAUUUCCCAUCACCCCCCACUUUAGCUUUAAGGAGCAUCUGAAGUGACAGAGCUUUGAUUUCAGUUGAGAGUGCUGAGCACAGAAGUCUUACAAGUAAUACAUUAUUAAAAAAUCGUAGCAAGAAAAUUAAUUUCUACUAUCGUAUACCAUGCUGGGUGUAUCACUUCUAACAAAUGACCUUUUUUUUUCAUAUAUUCAUUGGUAGAUUUACCAGGACAAAAUAAUUACUUUGUUUUCCACCUCUAAGAAAAAAAAAAAAGUCUUUUUCUUGUGCGUGUGUGGUUUUCUUGUUUUGUUUUUAAUUGAAAUAAGUACACAAAGCGAAUGGGUUCUAGAAGAUAAAAAGGAAAAGGAAAGAAAAAAGAAGGAACUGGAAAACCACACAGAAAUGAGGCACUGGCUCCCUGUCAUGUUGUCUGGUCAGUAAUAUUUCUUACUGUGAAAUUCCUGCAUGUUCUCAUGUUCAUGUUUAAAUCCUCCCAGAGAGAUUUUGCAUUGGAUCCUAGUUGAACUCAAGAAGGUAGAUGGUUAUGCGGUUUCUCAUAUUUCUUGCUUUUGAGAGGAACGUCUGUUUAUCCAGAGAGCCUUAUCUGGGCUUGGCGACGAGCACAUUCCACAGCCAGAAGAAGGACCAGACAGCUAUACUCUGGACCACCUCAUUUCAGAAUUCUGCUUGAAGCACACUAAAGACUUCAGUGAGACUUUCUGUGACAGCGUGUGGUAAUGAAACUACCCCAUAAGGAGAUGAAAAACAAGAUAUACUCAAUGGGAGGAGCACAUGCUUGUACUUAAAUUCUUCUGUUUCUCCUUCAGUCAGAUGGGCAAAGGAAAAUGCUGUCCUAUCCCAAGAAAUGCAAAGGCAUAAUCAAGUAUGUCUGUGCCUCUCUUGCCAUUUUGAUAUUGGGAACUCAUCCAGCUGCGAACCAAUAGUCUUAUAUGGAAGAUCAGAACUGCUGCUCCUUCGCUUCUUGAUGUAGGAUCUCUCUAUACACAAGCACUGUGCGCGAGUCUUCCCCUUAAAACUUUGAGCACUGCAUAAAUUCUGCUGGUCAAGAGGCUCAGACUGUGAUUUCAAAAGGAACUCCCGUAUUUGUCAACACGUAGCUGAUGAAUGCUCACAGCUAAGAAGUGGUAUUGUGGAUCCCUUUCAUGACUUAUACCUAUAUUUAGUAAGUAUGGAUGACUAACUAAUCCUUUACUGGGAGCAGCUACUGCAAAAUGUAAGUAAGUGCAGAAAUCACCAUCACUGAAUAAAUACUGUGUUGAGUACAGGACGUGUCUUGCAUUAAUAUUUUUGGCCAUUAGAAAUAUUAGAGCAACAGUAGGUUUUAUCACUAGACUGGUUAUGUGUAACCUGUGUCACCUUCCUUUCUUAUCUUUAAAAAUUUCAAGAUGUGAUUUUAUUUCACAGCUGUGAUAACUGCAGAAUAAUCACACCAAUCACCAAGUUACUUGAAAAUAAGUAAGUAACAACAUGAGACAAACCUUAUCUUUACUACAAAGGCAUGCACAAGUUGCUCUAAAUUCUAGCUGGCACUUUACGCACCAAAAGGCUAAGAACUAUUCAAUCACCCUGCUCUUCCAGAACUUCCUUUACUGACUAAUAUAUUCUGGAGAGGUACCUGUGGGAGGAUUGGAGUGAGCCACUGCCUGCAGAGCUAAAUAACAAGCAUGAACACAAGGUACUCACCUAAACAUCCUCCAUGAAAAUGCAGCUGACACACUUGAGGGACGGGAUGCCAUUCGAAAGAAGCAUGGUGAGCAGGGCCAGGGAGAUGGUCCUGUCCUCUACUCUGCGCUGGCAAGGCCUCACCUGGAGUACUGGGUCCAGAUGUGGCGUCCUUUGUACAGGAGAGGCACUGACCUGUUGGAGUGCAUCCAGAGGAGGGUCACAAAAAUGAUCCAAGGGAUGGAACACAUCUCCUAAGAGGACAUGCUGAAAGAGCAGGGGCUGUUCAGCCUGGAGAAGAGAAGGCUCCAGGGAGACCUGAGAGCAGCCAUUCAUAUCUAAAGGGGAGCUACAGGAAAGAAGGGGACAGACUCUUUAGAAGGGUUUAUUGUGAUGGGACAAGAGGAAGUGGUUUCAAGCUAUAAGGGGAAGAUUUAUACUGGAUAUAAGGAAGAAGUUCUUUGCAAUAAGGGUGGUGAGGCACUGGAACAGGUUGCCCAGAGAGGUGGUGGGAGCCCCAUUCUUGGAGACAGUCAAGGUCAGGCUGGAUGGGGCUUUGAGUACCCUGAUCUAGCUGUAGCUGUCUCCGUUCAUUGCAGGGGUGUUGGACUAGAUGGCCUUUAACGGUCUCUUCCAGCUCAAAAAAAUCCAUUAUUCUGUGAUUUUCACCCAGCCUAGUAUCUUUCCUGACAGGCUGUGUAGCCCGGCAGAUAAAGGAAGCAAAAUUAUCCUUCUUGAAUGUUAGCUCUUGCUUAGCAUCUUGGCAAAACCAGUCGGCAAAUAAACCUUUGUUUGACCUUGGUAUGUUUCUCUGGAAGCUCUGUUUUUCUCCUCUGCACUCCCUUCUUUAAAUAGAAAGAGAGGUCUCAGACCAACAGAGCGCAAAGGAGUCACAGCAGGCACAUGGGGAGGGAGUCUCUGCUUCCUCAGCUCUGGAUACAUCCCAGCCUGACAUGAUUUGUCACCUUGUGUAAUAUAAUUCAGCUUAAGAUAUAAAUUCCUGUAAGCCUUAAGCUGUGCAGCCAGAACAGUGAUAAAGUAACAGAGAAAUGAAGAUUUACAAGACACAUCUAAGGUGUAAACAUGAAUAAAAUAAUCCACACGCGUACAUAGUAAAAUGCUGUAUUCCUAUGCUUGCUUUAUAUUCCCCACACAGUUCGAAGUCUGAUUUACUGCUCCUUACUGAAAACACACUCUUGCUUGAAUAGAAACUUGCUGAAAUUUCACAAUUCUUAUCACUACUCAGGAUUGCUACAAAUUUGAUUCAGUUUGGGUUGGUUUGCCUUAGAAAUUUCUUCUGUGGGAACAGAACAUUUGCACAAGUCGUAUACCCCCCUACGUAUACCAUAGGGCCAUUUUUGCCGUGCCUUCCAGCACUGGCUGCUAAACGCAUGGACUCUCAGCUGUGACCAUUCAGUCCAAUUCUCAACAAGACCCUGCUCAUCACUGUUUGCGUAACCAGUAAGGAUUAGGUAAGAAGUUUAGAAAUACAGUUUGACUGACUGCCAAUUUUAUCUGUAUGCACCGUUUGUAUUUACUACUGAUUCAGUCUCAGUAACACAGCUGUGGAGUGGCACCUGGUAACACCAACACUGGAAACAGGAAGCGAAAGAAAUCAGAAGAAGUUUGCAUAGUUGCAUUUAUCUGGUACAUCUGAUCCAUGUUUCAGCUCCAGGAUCAGCUGAUAUUCUCAGUUACAACACUAACUCUAAAUAACAGUCUUGCUGCUGUAGGCUUGUUCAGAAUACUGCAAUGCAUGAGGUACCUGGUCUCAACUGUCCUGCUAAUUAAUCCCUAACAGCUCCCCUCCAAAAAAGUAUAAACGAACAAAUUAAUUCCCUCCACAUCUCCCUUCUAUUCUCAUUUUUCCUGUUGCAAGGCUAUUGACAAGGAACUAUGACUUAUUUCACGCAUGCAAUGACAUGCUCUGAACACAUACCGAAGUUACUGUUCCAUAUAUGUCAACUCUUCAUAAAUGCUCAUGCAUCUCACUAAUAUACUGGGACUCCAGAUUAACUAGGCAAGGUAAUAUACACUUAGAAUCAAGUGAUAAUCACAACAUCUACUUGAAAAGUAUUCAUUAUGUCUCGCGCAUUUCCCAAGAUGACUCUACCUCAAGACAGUAUAGGCCGGCAUCAAGUAGAAAAACAUCAGUUGCAAAGGCUACUUACCCACACACACCUUCCACAAUAAAAUUCUUUGGCUGCAAUCUAUGUUAACAACCUGGCACCCACAGCAAGGAUCUCCAUGACAUAGGGCUUUGAGUGUAGUCUGAGCAUGCUCUGCAUCUUGGCAGUUGUUAGCAAAGGAGUUCUCUCUCAUCACUGUUAAAAAACAAAGAUUUUGUCAGAUGUCAUGAAUGUAUCAGAUCUAUACGACAAAAAACACAAAGCAAAGCAAGGCAUUUGACUUACUCGUCAUUGCAGUUCAGUAGAUAAUUGUUUUGACAGUUUGGUCCACCUGGUUAUUCCACCCUCAUGCUGGGAAAUGUGGGUAAUUAUCUGGUCUGUCAGAGGUAAAACCAUAUUGCAUCACUGAUGUAAAUACUUGUUGGUCUUUUCUGAAGACCAAUUAUUACAUCUUUUAACAUCAUUCAAUUGAAAGUGUUUCUUACGUACCUUUUAUUUGGGGAUGCAAUCCUGAGGCUCAACAGCAGUAAAUGAACGACGCUCCCUCCCACAGCAACAGAAUUCCGCAGAUUACCAUACAGGUAAUUUUUAUUGGCAUUUAAGCAUUAAAUUAACUGCUAAAGUAUGUGCCUAACAGACAAAUCACAUUAAUGAGCACAUACGCUGGCAAGAUGUCAAUGAAAGUUCAACUAAAUUACUUUGCUUAUUCAUAGCUUCAGAAAUUAGGGGCAUGAUUAAUCCUCAUGGCUCCUAGACUGCAAAUAUCAAUAAUGAUUACGACAAUAUUUUACAGCAUGCUACAAACACUUUUAAAUGAAUUUUUAUACAGUCUUUUUUUUUUUUCCUUCUUCUGGGGAGACAAGAGGCUUUCAAUAAAGUAUUUUGACAUAUUUUUCCCAUAAUUUGUUUGUGGUACAACAUAAAUAUUCAUAAAUACAGAAAUAUGUUUUCAAGAAUUCUCACCGAACAUUUUAAGUCUGAAAUUUUGAAGUCACUCUGUUCUUUCUUUUUACCCUUCCUAGUUUCCAAUACAUUAGAAACAAAAGAGAUUAAAAGCACAGUCACUGUUCUUAGGAUUAGUAACAUCUCAUUGCCAAACAACACACGAAGCAGCUAGUCAUUGGGAGGGGAACACUUCCCAUCCCCAUAGCCACCCUGUUAGCCAGUUAGGGCCUCCAAGUACUGGAGCCACCGGCUCGAUAAGCUGUUACCAAAUACAAGAUGAAUUUCUGAUACAGAACUCUGAUAACAGUCUUGAUUAUCUGUCUCCAGGCUGGGAAAUACUGGACAUCUUGGAAGAACAGUUUUUAGCUUAGUGGUCUGCGAGCUCAUCCUCCAGCAGGGUGUCUCCCCAGGGGAACGCUGUGAGCAUUCUCCCAUUAAGACUUUAUAUGGUGGUAGAUGAAAAUGUGAAUAAAUUAUAUUACAUAAAGUGAAAUCAAAGAUACUGCUGCAGUAUAACUGCAAUACCCCAGAUAGCGCUAAGCAGCUUCUUUGCCAGUUAAUUACUUUGAGACUACAUUAACUUUUGUGAACGCUGAAGAUGUCUGUCACCAUGGCACAUACAUGUGAAAUUUGCAGACAUCUCAGAAUGGAGCAAUUAAAAAAAAAAGCCAGACUCUUACCUUUUCCC